GACCGCGUAGCUCAGUUGGCAGAGCAUUGGGCUAGUAUUCCACAGGACGUAGGUUCGAUUCCCACCGCGGCCG